CAAACGCUACUAAACUUUAGUUGACUCUAACCAUUAACUUGUAAAUCACUAAACAACCUCUUUGAUUGUGCAACCUGCACUUUUGAAAACUUAGGACUAAUUUCUCUCUACUUGAUCACCAAGUAAAAAACUCAUUUUGGAGUGCAAGAACUCUAAGCAUUUCUUCUCCAAAUUUCAGAAUUAUGAAGGCUUACAGGUGAAGAAAAUAUUUUUUUUUUUUUGGUGUUUGAUCUUUAGAUCUUUUUUGUUUCAAUCUGUGGCUUAGGUAAGAGAUGUAAGGAUAUGAAUUUGAUCUUCAACGAAUAUUCUCUUGAUAAAAUUAAGGCUCAACCAAUAAAAAUAUAUUUUGGAUAAAUAUAUGAAUCAAUGAUCUUGGGGUUGAUUAAACAAAUCUUCGAGUAUGUGUAAUUGACCUUCAAAUAAUGAUCUCUAUAAUGAAAAUAAUAUUCAAUCACACCAUGAGACGAAUUAUGGCGUGUAUAUUUAUAAUGGGUAGUGUCAGAGGUUGAAUAUGAUUAAAAAACAGCUUUAAACUGCGAAUCAAACCCCUUUAUGUCGCACCACUGGUUGAGCUUUGACCCCACACCUAGCGAACGAUGCCUCCGUCGUUCGAGCACCAAACAAGCAGUGAGGUCCCCGGUUUGAGCGUGUUAGGUCCAAUAUUGUAAUUGGCAAUUUUGUAAACAAAAGGGACUUAAUUGAUCACUUGUAAAAUUCAAGGACUUAGUUGCAAUUUUGAAUAGAUGAGGUAAAUUAGUGUUCGAGUCAUUGAAGGAGUCCAAGAUGUCUAAAAAGAUCACAUAUGACCAUCGAAAAUGCAAUUAGAAGUCUAAAGGUUAUCAAAUAACCGCAUAAGUUAUGUUCCAAAUUCUCAGUGGUAACUUGCAAUGUAUUUUUCACAUAAAAAAACAUUGGCAUUUGGAUAAGCUAGAAGAAUUAGACCUUUGAGUUAACUUUCCAACACAAGUUGAAUCACCUCAAUCGGACAUUAGGAGAGAAAAUUAUGGUGAAAACACUGACGGCAGCUUAGUUGUCGCUUGCUUUUUCCUCGAGCAAAAAAAAAAACAGAAUGACUCUUACUCAAUUUUCGCUAGAUCCUCGCUCAAGUGACAUUCUUAUGCUGCAAAACCCCUAAUUAGCAUUUUCAAGUGUUUUACUCGGCCCAUACCACUAAAACAUCUUCAAAUAUAAAUAUCCAACCUGUAGCACGAAUUUUGGUAUGGAUGUUCAUUGUACCUCUCUUAGAAAACAUAUUAUUAUCAUCUUUUUGAAGAUCCAAGAGCACGUCCAAGCAUUGAUUCAUUUUAUUGGGGAAAACAUCAAAGGUCCGAUAAUCUAAAACACAUGUCUUCUUUAAUCUUUUAAACAUUUUUAAAAUAAAAACUUAUUUUAAAAGAAAUGUUUCUAAAAUAAAAUAAAGCAUAUUUAAAAAAUA
rnacentral:lncRNA from 1 species